UGACAACUACUUCUCUUGUGCUGUUGGGAGAAAGCGAUCCAGUGCAAGAUAUCUCCUCAAAUCAUCAGACGACGUCGUCACUCUUUUAAAGGAGCUUGCUGAAGGUGGAGAACCAGUGCCUGUCGACUCAGUAGAUGGAGCAAUGCCUCUAGAUAGAGAAGGUGGAGCACUGCCUCUCGACUCAGAAGGUGGAGCAGUGCCUCACAACUCGGAAGCUGGAGAACAAAGCACUGAGAAUAUCUAGAUAGCAUCGGUCGAAAGAUUUCUUUCACAAGUACAUAUGAGUUCCUUGAACAAUCUCAGACCCGCGGGACUGUG
rnacentral:lncRNA from 1 species